UUUAACGACUCCCAAACCACUGUGAACAUACCCGUACCGUUGCCUCGGCGGGCGGCCCCAGGGCGGGGCCGCAGCCUCCUCGCGGAGGCGCCCGCCGCAGGUCACAAAACUAUACCGAUAUUUAGUGGCAUCUCUGAGUAACUUCCAAACAAUCAAAACUUUCAACAACGGAUCUCUUGGUUCUGGCAUCGAUGAAGAACGCAGCGAAAUGCGAUAAGUAAUGUGAAUUGCAGAAUUCAGUGAAUCAUCGAAUCUUUGAACGCACAUUGCGCCCGCCAGCAUUCUGGCGGGCAUGCCUGUCCGAGCGUCAUUUCAACCCUCAAGCCCUGCUUGGUGUUGGGGCACUACGCGCAAGCGUAGGCCCUCAAAAUUAGUGGCGGACUCGCUGGAGGUCCGGGCGUAGUAAUACAUCUCGCCCGAGGUCCCCAGCGUGCCCCUGCCGUUAAACCCCCAAACUUACAGAAGGUUGACCUCGGAUCAGGUAGGAAUACCCGCUGAACUUAAGCAUAUCAAUAAGCGGAGGAAAAGAAACCAACAGGGAUUGCCCUAGUAACGGCGAGUGAAGCGGCAACAGCUCGAAUUUGAAAUCUGGCCUCGGCCCGAGUUGUAAUCUGUAGAGGAUGCUUUUGGCGCGGUGCCUUCCGAGUGCCCUGGAACGGGACGCCACAGAGGGUGAGAGCCCCGUAUGGUCGGACACCAAGCCUGUGUAAAGCUCCUUCGACGAGUCGGGUAGCUUGGGAAUGCUGCUCUAAGUGGGAGGUAAACUUCUUCUAAAGCUAAAUACUGGCCAGAGACCGAUAGCGCACAAGUAGAGUGAUCGAAAGAUGAAAAGCACUUUGAAAAGAGGGUCAAAUAGUACGUGAAAUUGUUGAAAGGGAAGCGCUCAUGACCAGACUUGCGCCGGGCUGAUCAUCCAGUGGUUUCCACUGGUGCACUCUGCCCGGCUCAGGCCAGCGUCGGCUGUCGGGGGGGGACAAAAGCACUGGGAAAGUAGCUCUCUCCGGGGAGUGUUAUAGCCCUAUGCAGAAUACCCCCGCGGCGGCCGAGGUCCGCGCUCUGCAAG
rnacentral:misc_RNA from 1 species